AUUGAACGCUGGCGGCAUGCCUAACACAUGCAAGUCGAACGGUAGCAGGACUGUCUUGCCAGUUGCUGACGAGUGGCGGACGGGUGAGUAAUGCGUAGGGAUCUGCCUUUGAGAGUGGGCCCACUAGGGGAAACUUUAGCUAAUACCGCACAGAGCCUACGGGUGAAAGCAGGGGACCUUCGGGCCUUGCGCUGAAAGAUGAACCUACGUCGGAUUAGCUAGUUAGUAGGGUAAAGGCCUACCAAGGCGACGAUCCGUAACUGGUCUGAGAGGAUGACCAGUCACACUGGGACUGAGACACGGCCCAGACUCCUACGGGAGGCAGCAGUGGGGAAUAUUGGACAAUGGGGGCAACCCUGAUCCAGCAAUGCCGCGUGUGAAGAAGGCCUGCGGGUUGUAAAGCACUUUGAUUGGGGAGGAAGUAUUUUAUUUUAAUAAAGUAGAGUAUUGACGUUACCCAAAGAACAAGCACCGGCUAACUCUGUGCCAGCCGCCGCCGUAA
rnacentral:rRNA from 1 species